rnacentral:rRNA from 1 species
ACUCCGUGAAACCGGGGCUAAUACCGGAUGGUUGUNUGAACCGCAUGGUUCAGACAUAAAAGGUGGCUUCGGCUACCACUUACAGAUGGACCCGCGGCGCAUUAGCUAGUUGGUGAGGUAACGGCUCACCAAGGCGACGAUGCGUAGCCGACCUGAGAGGGUGAUCGGCCACACUGGGACUGAGACACGGCCCAGACUCCUACGGGAGGCAGCAGUAGGGAAUCUUCCGCAAUGGACGAAAGUCUGACGGAGCAACGCCGCGUGAGUGAUGAAGGUUUUCGGAUCGUAAAGCUCUGUUGUUAGGGAAGAACAAGUGCCGUUCAAAUAGGGCGGCACCUUGACGGUACCUAACCAGAAAGCCACGGCUAACUACGUGCCAGCAGCCGCGGUAAUACGUAGGUGGCAAGCGUUGUCCGGAAUUAUUGGGCGUAAAGGGCUCGCAGGCGGUUUCUUAAGUCUGAUGUGAAAGCCCCCGGCUCAACCGGGGAGGGUCAUUGGAAACUGGGGAACUUGAGUGCAGAAGAGGAGAGUGGAAUUCCACGUGUAGCGGUGAAAUGCGUA